UACGGCCAUAUCACAUUAAAAUACCAGUUCUCAUAAGACCAUCGAAAUUAAGUAACGUCGAGCCUCGUCAGUACCUCGAUGGGUGACCGCUUCGGAAUGUCAGG